GACGCAGCGACGCCGCGUGAGGGAGGAAGGCCUUCGGGUUGUAAACCUCUUUCAGGAGGGACGAAGCUACUCGGGUGAAUAGCCCAGAGGGUGACGGUACCUCCAGAAGAAGCCCCGGCUAACUACGUGCCAGCAGCCGCGGUAAUACGUAGGGGGCAAGCGUUGUCCGGAUUUACUGGGCGUAAAGAGCGUGUAGGCGGCCACGCAGGUCCGUUGUGAAAACUGGAGGCUCAACUUCCAGACGUCGACGGAAACCGUGUGGCUAGAGUCCGGAAGAGGAGAGUGGAAUUCCUGGUGUAGCGGUGAAAUGCGCAGAUAUCAGGAAGAACACCAAUGGCGAAGGCAGCUCUCUGGGACGGUACUGACGCUGAGACGCGAAAGCGUGGGGAGCGGACAGGAUUAGAUACCCUGGUAGUCCACGCCGUAAACGAUGGGUGCUAGGUGUGGGGGGUGUCGACUCCCUCCGUGCCGCAGCUAACGCAUUAAGCACCCCGCCUGGGGAGUACGGCCGCAAGGCUA
rnacentral:rRNA from 1 species